rnacentral:rRNA from 1 species
AAACUCAAAGGAAUUGACGGGGCCCGCACAAGCGGUGGAGCAUGUGGUUUAAUUCGACGCAACGCGAAGAACCUUACCAGGGCUUGACAUCCCCUGACCGCGUAUGAAAGUACGUUUUCACCCUCGGGUGACAGGGAGACAGGUGGUGCAUGGUUGUCGUCAGCUCGUGUCGUGAGAUGUUGGGUUAAGUCCCCGCAACGAGCGCAACCCCUACGUUUAGUUGCUAACGCGUGAAGGCGAGCACUCUAGACGAACUGCCGUUGACAAAACGGAGGAAGGUGGGGAUGACGUCAAAUCAUCAUGCCCCUUAUGUUCUGGGCUACACACGUGCUACAAUGGCCGGUACAGACGGACGCAAAGCCGCGAGGUGGAGCAAAUCCUAAAAAGCCGGUCUCAGUUCGGAUUGCAGGCUGCAAUUCGCCUACAUGAAGUCGGAAUCGCUAGUAAUCGCGGAUCAGCACGCCGCGGUGAAUACGUUCCCGGGCCUU